GACGAACGCUGGCGGCGUGCUUAACACAUGCAAGUCGAACGGAAAGGCCCCGUUUGCAGGGUACUCGAGUGGCGAACGGGUGAGUAACACGUGGGUGACCUGCCCUGCACUUUGGGAUAACUCCAGGAAACUGGGUCUAAUACCGGAUAGGAGCUCCUUCUGCAGGGUGGGUGGGGGAGAGUUUUGGGGGUAGGGUGAGCACUCGGGGCAUCAGAUUGUUGGGGGGGGGAUGGCCUACCAAGGCGUCGAGGGGUAGACGGCCCGAGAGGGUGGACGGCCACAUUGGGACUGAGAUACGGCCCAGACUCCUACGGGAGGCAGCAGUGGGGAAUAUUGCACAAUGGGCGCAAGCCUGAUGCAGCGACGCCGCGUGGGGGAUGACGGCCUUCGGGUUGUAAACUCCUUUCGCUAGGGACGAAGCUUUUUGUGACGGUACCUAGAUAAGAAGCACCGGCUAACUACGUG
rnacentral:rRNA from 1 species